UGCCUUGGUUUUCGCCAUAACUCUUAUUAGGGAUAACUAUGCUUCCGAUCCUCCUAUCUGGCACGCCAAACUGUUGCCACUGAACUCCAGUAAGGUACUCGAGCCGUCAUGAAUUAGAAUCACCUGAUCGACGGGCGAAGAUGGGACCUGAACAGGAGGUUCGCUUGCUAGAGAUUAUCAGAUGCGAGACUCUUCGAUGCCCAAGUCAGCCAAAAAAAAGGAAUAGCAAAGGAAUUAUAGUGAUGAAGGCACGGAAUGAAGGCUAGAA
rnacentral:lncRNA from 1 species